AUGCAUAUUAACAAGCCUCAAAGCAUAUGGGAAAAUGUCCUGUGGACAGAUGAGACAAGAACAGAAGUUUUCUGGCAAGGCCCAUUAGCUUUACGUUUAUGGGAGCAAGAACUAAGAUCUUCGGGAACCGCUCAUCAGUUUGCCUACUUGAUCAACACAUCCGACUUCCGGAUCCUGCGUAUGGAUGAGGACCAUGACCACAUGUAUGUUGGCAGCAAGGACCACAUCCUGUCCCUGGACCUUCAUGAUGUCAACAGGAACCCACGUAUUAUCCAUUGGCCUGUGUCUGAACGAAGGAGGAUGGAAUGUCUCGUAAGUGGAAAAGAUGCCUUUGACGAAUGUGCAAACUUCAUUCGUCUCAUUGAACCGUGGAAUCGAACCCAUCUGUACGUCUGUGGAACAGGCGCUUACAAUCCAGUGUGUACCUUUGCCAACCGUGGACACAAAACCCAGGAAGAAAUUUUCCAUUUGGAGCCAGGCACAGUGGAAUCUGGGAAGGGAAAGUGCUCAUACGACCCGAAGCUCAACAGUGUGUCAGCUUUAAUCAAUGGUGAACUGUAUGCUGGCGUCUAUGUUGACUUCAUGGGAACGGAUUCCGCCAUCUUCCGUACUUUGGGGACAAAGACCGCCAUGCGAACGGAUCAGUACAACUCCAGAUGGUUAAAUGACCCCACGUUCAUCCAUGUUCACCUCAUUCCAGAUAGCGCAGAGAAAAACGAUGACAAGCUUUAUUUUUUCUUCCGAGAGAAGUCCUCAGACAUGGGCCAGAGUCCCGUCACUCAGUCUCGGAUUGGACGCAUCUGUCUGAACGACGAUGGAGGUCACUGCUGUCUGGUCAACAAGUGGAGCACCUUCCUGAAGGCCCGGCUCAUCUGCUCUGUGCCUGGAGCUGACGGCACGGAAACGCACUUUGAUGAGCUCCGUGACGUUUACAUCCAGCCCACGCAGGACACCAAAAACCCAGUCAUUUACGGUGUCUUUUCUGUCUCUGGGUCUGUGUUCAAGGGAUCGGCUGUUUGCGUGUACUCUAUGGCUGACAUUCGCAUGGUCUUCAAUGGACCCUUUGCUCACAAGGAGGGGCCCAGUUACCAGUGGGUGUCUUAUACUGGGAAGAUUCCUUACCCCCGACCAGGCACAUGCCCUGGAGGUACGUUCACCCCCAACAUGAAGUCCACAAAGGAUUACCCAGAUGAAGUCAUUAACUUCAUGAGGAAUCAUCCCGCCAUGAACAAUGCUGUGUACCCAGUACACAAGCGCCCACUAGUGGUCCGUACCAAAGUGGACUAUGAGUUCACCACCAUUGCAGUGGACCAGGUGGCGGCUGCAGAUGGCAACUAUGAGGUGCUCUUCUUAGGAACCGACAAGGGAACAGUUCAGAAACUGAUUGUGCUGCCCAAAGAUGACCUGCAGACGGAGGAACUGGUUCUGGAGGAGGUGGAGGUUUUCAAGGUUGGCCUGUGUUCCUCUUCCUGUCAUAAAUAUUAUUUUUUGUUUCAACAGUUGUAUGUGUCGUCUGCUGUGGGGCUGACCCAGCUGGCGCUUCAUCGCUGUGACAUGUACGGCGAAGCCUGCGCCGAUUGCUGUCUGGCUCGAGAUCCUUAUUGCGCCUGGGAUGGAAAGUCCUGUUCACGGUAUUCCACCUCUCAAAAGAGUCGGGUUCUGAAGACGGAACAGGGGCUGCUCUUGCGCUCUCUGCAGCUUUCGGACUCCGGCUUGUACCAAUGCACAGCCACAGAGAAGAACUUUAAACACACGCUGGUCAAGCUGCAGCUGGUGGUGCUGUCGAAUCGGGCCAUCAACAACGCUCUGGUAGAUGGCGGUGGGGGGCUAGCGUCUCUGCACGCCAAUGCAGGCCAGUACAAGGACUUGCUGACCAUUUUGACCCAGCCAGAAAUGAGCCUGAUCAAUCAGUACUGUCAGGACUACUGGCAGUUUGGAGACCCUCUGCUGGGCGCCCUCAAGCCUAAAGACCUGAGGGAGCUGAAGGAGCAGAAGAAGCCUCGCAAUCGCCGGCAUCAUCAGAGCGGCAGGGAGGGAAAGGAGCACCAGGAAGCAGAGACAUGA
rnacentral:lncRNA from 1 species